UCUACCAGUGAGGAGGACUCUGGUAGAGGACGAGUCAUGGACGGUGAGUAGUAAGUGUCUGGAACCCUGAGGUCCAG
rnacentral:snoRNA from 1 species